rnacentral:rRNA from 1 species
CGGUAAUUCCAGCUCCAAUAGCGUAUAUUAAAGUUGUUGCAGUUAAAAAGCUCGUAGUUGGAUUUCUGUCUUUGUUGUGCGGUCCACCGCGAGGUGAGCACUGUGUGAUGGGGACUUCCUCUCGGUGUUGCGCCGUGUUCUUAACUGAGCGCGGUGUUGACUCGGGACCUUUACUUUGAAAAAAUUAGAGUGUUCAAAGCAGGCCUACGCUUGAAUACAUUAGCAUGGAAUAAUUGAAUAGGACUUUGGUUCUAUUUUGUUGGUUUCUAGGACCGAAGUAAUGAUUAAUAGGGACAGUUGGGGGCAUUAGUAUUUAAUUGUCAGAGGUGAAAUUCUUGGAUUUAUGAAAGACUAACUACUGCGAAAGCAUUUGCCAAGGAUGUUUUCAUUAAUCAAGAACGAAAGUUAGGGGAUCGAAGACGAUCAGAUACCGUCGUAGUCUUAACCAUAAACUAUGCCGACUCGGGAUCAGUGGGGUGAUUUUAGCCGCAUUGGCACCGUACGAGAAAUCAAAGUUUUUGGGUUCUGGGGGGAGUAUGGUCGCAAGGCUGAAACUUAAAGGAAUUGACGGAAGGGCACCACCAGGAGUGGAGCCUGCGGCUUAAUUUGACUCAACACGGGGAAACUCACCAGGUCCAGACAUAGUAAGGAUUGACAGAUUGAGAGCUCUUUCUUGAUUCUAUGGGUGGUGGUGCAUGGCCGUUCUUAGUUGGUGGAGUGAUCUGUCUGGUUAAUUCCGUUAACGAACGAGACCUUAACCUGCUAAAUAGUUAUGCGAUUUUCGAAUCGUAGGCAACUUCUUAGAGGGACUAUCGGUGUUUAACCGAUGGAAGUUUGAGGCAAUAACAGGUCUGUGAUGCCCUUAGAUGUUCUGGGCCGCACGCGCGCUACACUGACAGGGACAACGAGUUUAUAACCUGCGCCGGAAGGUGUGGGUAAUCUUUUGAGCCCCUGCCGUGCUGGGGAUUGACCUUUGUAAUUUUCGGUCAUGAACGAGGAAUUCCUAGUAAGCGUGAUUCAUCAGAUCGCGUUGAUUACGUCCCUGCCCCUUGUACACACCGCCC